CGCGAGCGGGGAGCAGAGUUGCCAUGGAAACGGGGCGUCAACACAAAAACCGUUACUGGCAAGCAGUAAUCUCCGUCUCUUGCUGUGGUUUACACUGUUUUAGAAACGGUUUAGUGUCUUCGGAAAAGUCCGUUAGCAUUUUAGCAGUUUUCAGGUAGGCUAACUCUGAUUGAGGUCUUGUUGAUGAAACUCUGGGCUUUUAAUCAAAUCUUCGUGUCUGUAUGGGAUAUUUUGAUGGCUCUGUGAAUGUUUUGCUGGUGAUUUGUCAGUAUGUUAUUGGAAAAGGCUGAUUUACUGAAUCGAUGACGUCACUUACAGUGAGAGUGUAAUCGGCUGAAAUCAAGUUCACAUGAGUUUUGAUAUUUCAUGAUAAACAGAUAUUAAUACAAAUUGUUCUGUGAUUUCAGGAGGACAGAAAGAAACUCUACAGAACAGAAGUGAAGCUCCAAGAUUUCAACAUUUCUGAAGGGAGAUACUGACUUAGAAAUACAGAUUGCUUGUUUUGUUCCUGGACUCUUCAGUGAUGAUGAGCAGAGUCUGAGUGAACCUGCUGUCAGACAGGUUGGCCUGAUUGACGAUGCCAUCAUCCAUCGCCAAUGGCUGAUAGACAUCACGAUGCUGCGCUGGCAAACAGCGUCAUCAGCUCCAGUAUCUCGCCCGUGCAUCUGUUGUCAUGCGACAGAGAAGUCACGUUCUAUAGACAGUUUCUAUAGACAGUUGUGAACGUGCUGACAGCUGGUUGCCCAGGCUAUGGAUUAAAGGUAAUACUGUUGGCCAGCAGAGCCCUGCUCACCCU